rnacentral:guide_RNA from 1 species
AAAUCAAUCAAUAAUAAGUUACAGUGAUAUAAGAGUGAAAAUUU